rnacentral:tRNA from 1 species
GGAUGUGUAGCUCAGUGGUUAGAGCAUCAGUCUCCAAAACUGAGGGUCGGGGGUUCGAAUCCUCCCACUCCCGC